CAACACUUCCUUUCUUCACGCUCACUACAAAACUCAAACAGCAGCAAAAACAAGUAAGACAAUGCAUCAAAUUAAUAUCCAAAUCUCGAACAACAGCAAAAACAAGCCAUAGGCCCAUAGACAAUAAAUAUAGGCCAAAUUUCAAAAGCUAUAUGCUCAUGAUCUCACCACUACCAUUGGCAUUCGCCUUUCGCUUCCCACCAACUGCACAUCAAGAAACCAAAUAAGCACAUUAAAAUUCAAAACACAUUCAUCAUAGUCAUACAACCAACAAUGAUCCACACAUUCAAAUUGAAGAGAACACACGAAUACAUGAAUGGUGUUAACCUGAAGAAUUAGUGAUUCUUGGGUCUAUAUCUCCUCCGUUAUAAUCCCUCACAUCCUUAUUGGGAGGACUUAUGCAAGAAAAGCAACCCAUUUUCCUUCUUUCUCUAAAGUUUAAACCCCAAAUUCUUGCUUUCCUUUAUCAAAUUCUUUUCCCCCUAACUUUGAUUCUUUGAAUAGAAUCCCAAUUGAAUUCACCUAAUAUAUACCAAAUCAAUCCCUCAUUACCAUUUUUAAACGUACUAGCAUACCCGUGACAAAGAAGGAAGAAAACUCGAAAAACAGAAAAUAAUUACUAGGAGAGAGAGAGAAGGAGAAUCAAGAAUGUCACGUUCCCUCCUAUAAUCCAACUACCCAAAUCCCCAGAACAAAAACAAUCACAAGCUCAAAUCUCCCAACAGAUCUAUGCCAAACUACUAGCUCUACACAAAACCCAACUAACAACAAUUCAAAUAAUCAAAUCCAUCCAGUGUGUGAAAGAAAAAGACUGCAUUUUUACAAACAGAGAGAAGAGCCCACUUUAAACUAAGCACAUUCAAAUUUGACCAUCACAAAUAAAACCCAGAAUUUAACAGCAAAGUCAGCUUCUUUUUCCUCCCUCCCCAACGUUACAGCCCUUUUCAAGCGCCGCCUUUAACGGUUAAAUUCCUGCUCUUUAUCUCCCUUCCCUCUUCCUCUUCUCGCUCUAAAAAAAAUGAAAUCUUUUUGUUUCCCAUGAAUUGUUUAGUGAGUAGAGAUUGUGGGCCUUUUGGGGAAAGCAGCGCAAUAAAAGCACUCAGACGAGUGUUUUCAGGUCACUCUCAUACACAGCUAGCAUUUAAACAUUUGGGUAUGGAGGAGCCACCUGAAAUUACCAAAUUACCCUUGAUUACUGUUACACGUCGGCCAAAAUCCCGUUAUGCCACUAAUCUU
rnacentral:lncRNA from 1 species